AACGUAGGACGCAAGCGUUAUCCGGAGUUACUGGGCGUAAAGCGCGGGCAGGCGGUUCUGCCAGUCUGAUGUGAAAUCUCCUCGCUCAACGGGGAGCAGCCAUUGGAAACUACAGAACUGGAGUCUGGCAGAGGUAGGCGGAAUUUCGGGUGGAGUGGUGAAAUGCGUAGAGAUCCGGAGGAACACCAGAGGCGAAGGCGGCCUACUGGGCCAGUACUGACGCUGAGCCGCGAAAGCCAGGGGAGCGAACGGG
rnacentral:rRNA from 1 species